rnacentral:misc_RNA from 1 species
UGGUUCUGGCAUCGAUGAAGAACGCAGCGAAAUGCGAUAAGUAAUGUGAAUUGCAGAAUUCAGUGAAUCAUCGAGUUUUUGAACGCACACUGCGCCCCUUGGUAUUCCGGGGGGCAUGCCCGUUCGAGCGUCAUUUCACCAAUCAAGCCUGGCUUGGUAUUGGGCCAUGGGAUAUUAUUACCCGGGCCUCAAAGUCGCCGGCUGGAAAGUCCUGAUCUCAGCGUCGUGGUUAAUCAAUUCGCCGACGAGAGGGGCGGUUCACGCCGUAAAAUUUAUCACAGGUUGACCUCGGAUCGGGUAGGAAUACCCGCUGA